rnacentral:rRNA from 1 species
GACGAAGGAUGCAAGCGUUAUCCGGAUUCAUUGGGUUUAAAGGGUGCGUAGGUGGGUCUGUAAGUCAGUGGUGAAAUCUCCGAGCUUAACUCGGAAACUGCCAUUGAUACUAUAGAUCUUGAAUUAUCUGGAGGUGAGCGGAAUAUGUCAUGUAGCGGUGAAAUGCUUAGAUAUGACAUAGAACACCAAUUGCGAAGGCAGCUCACUACGGAUUGAUUGACACUGAGGCACGAAAGCGUGGGGAUCAAACAGG